AUUGAACGCUGGCGGCAGGCCUAACACAUGCAAGUCGGGCGGAUGAAGGGAGCUUGCUCCUGGAUUCAGCGGCGGACGGGUGAGUAAUGCCUAGGAAUCUGCCUGGUAGUGGGGGAUAACGUCCGGAAACGGGCGCUAAUACCGCAUACGUCCUGAGGGAGAAGGUGGGGGAUCUUCGGACCUCACGCUAUCAGAUGAGCCUAGGUCGGAUUAGCUAGUUGGUGGGGUAAAGGCCUACCAAGGCGACGAUCCGUAACUGGUCUGAGAGGAUGAUCAGUCACACUGGAACUGAGACACGGUCCAGACUCCUACGGGAGGCAGCAGUGGGGAAUAUUGGACAAUGGGCGAAAGCCUGAUCCAGCCAUGCCGCGUGUGUGAAGAAGGUCUUCGGGUUGUAAAGCACUUUAAGUUGGGAGGAAGGGCAGUAAGUUAAUACCUUGCUGUUUUGACGUUACCAACAGAAUAAGCACCGGCUAACUUCGUG
rnacentral:rRNA from 1 species